rnacentral:rRNA from 1 species
GACGAACGCUGGCGGCGUGCUUAACACAUGCAAGUCGAACGGAAAGGCCCUGCUUUUGUGGGGUGCUCGAGUGGCGAACGGGUGAGUAACACGUGAGUAACCUGCCCUUGACUUUGGGAUAACUUCAGGAAACUGGGGCUAACACCGGAUAGGAGCUCCUGCUGCAUGGUGGGGGUUGGAAAGUUUCGGCGGUUGGGGAUGGACUCGCGGCUUAUCAGCUUGUUGGUGGGGUAGUGGCUUACCAAGGCUUUGACGGGUAGCCGGCCUGAGAGGGUGACCGGCCACAUUGGGACUGAGGUACGGCCCAGACUCCUACGGGGGGCAGCAGUGGGGAAUAUUGCACAAUGGGCGGAAGCCUGAUGCAGCAACGCCGCGUGCGGGAUGACGGCCUUCGGGUUGUAAACCGCUUUCGCCUGUGACGAAGCGUGAGUGACGGUAAUGGGUAAAGAAGCACCGGCUAACUACGUG